UGGAUGUACAUUCACGGCUGUUGCGCCCAUGAUUUUAAUUGGUCAAACGAAAGGAAUAGAUGUACUUUAUGGUUCGCUAUU
rnacentral:rRNA from 1 species